GGAGGGGAAAAAAGGGCAAGAAGUAGAGAAGAAGCUUGCAAAUGGUGGCUCAGCCUUGAUGAGCUCAGAGGGUGCUGGUCUGUGUGCCAGGUGCUGGGCUGGGGAAUGGGACAGCCACGCAGGGACAGAUGCUGAGCCCUCGGUGAUGGAUGCAGGUCUGAGCUGGGAGAAAUGGGG